AAGAGCAGAAGGUUUUUUAGUAUUUCUCCAGUAGGUUUCCUCAAGGAGAAAGCCCCC
rnacentral:snRNA from 1 species